ensembl:lncRNA
CUAGUUAGGCCCCAGUGUGUUUCUAGUUAGGUCCCAGUGUGUUUCUAGUUAGGUCCCAGUGUGUUUCUAGUUAGGUCCCAGUGUGUUUCUAGUUAGGCCCCAGUGUGUUUCUAGUUAGGUCCCAGUGUGUUUCUAGUUAGGCCCCAGUGUGUUUCUAGUUAGGCCCCAGUGUGUUUCUAGUUAGGUCCCAGUGUGUUUCUAGUUAGGUCCCAGUGUGUUUCUAGUUAGGCCCCAGUGUGUUUCUAGUUAGGCCCCAGUGUGUUUCUAGUUAGGCCCCAGUGUGUUUCUAGUUAGGCCCCAGUGUGUUUCUAGUUAGGUCCCAGUGUGUUUCUAGUUAGGCCCCAGUGUGUUUCUAGUUAGGCCCCAGUGUGUUUCUAGUUAGGUCCCAGUGUGUUUCUAGUUAGGCCCCAGUGUGUUUCUAGUUAGGUCCCAGUGUGUUUCCCUAAACCAUGUGAGAUUAUUUAACCAUCUGCAUCAUUAGACAGUAGUU